AGGACCGCGGGCCCUUGCAGCUCCUCUGGCGGCAACUCUCUGGAACUCUCUGGUUCUGCCGCCCUCUCCCGCGCCACCCAGCCCCCUACCCGCCACCGAGAUCUGACCCUGUGCAUUCCCGCCCGUGGGCCCCGCGCUGGGUAUCACGGCGGGCGCUCGGCUCCCGCUCGAGGCCCCGGGAACCCCUCCCCCACGCCUACGGUUUGACCGCUGAGGGGACCCACCCUCGGAUUCUGCAGACCAGGUCUCGGGGAAGCGUGCCCUUGGAGUCUUUCCCCUCACCGGGCUUCCAGUGGUCUUUGUGUGAUUUCUGGGGCCUUUCUCUGGUCCCUGAGUGUCUUCUCUGGUGCCCACAGGCAAGUCUGACUCUCUGAUGCCACCUGUCGCUUAUAAUCCGCAGAAAUGGCCACACAGCUCGCAGACACAUCGAGGCGGGUAGGGUAACCCAGCGUCUCCCGGUGGCACUCUGGGAGGCGGGAAGAGGAUCAAGCAAGAGGAUGUUCAGUUAUGAACCCCAGCAUCUCCUGUGGCAAGAAGAGCUCCUGUGCUAAACAGAAGGACAGAGAAAGUACUGAGGAGCAUGGGCGCCUACACGACUCUUCAAGGAGUCUAUUUCUCCCAUGGUGACAAGGGAGUGCUUGCUACUGGAAAUUUGUACAAUAAAUCAAAGAAGAAAAAAAUUACCAAUAACCAAUCACCCAAAGUAACUUUUGUUGGCAAUCAAGUACAUUUUCAAUUAUUUCGUCUUGUUGUUGAUUUAUGAUUAAUCUGUAAAGAUAAUUCUAGGGGCUGGAGAGAUGAUGGCUCAGUAAUAUAGAGACUUCCUGCUCUCGAGAGGACCUGAGUUCAGAUCCCGGCACCCAUGUCAGAGGCUCACAAUCACCCGUGCUUGCAACUCUAGGGGCCUAGAUGCCCACUGACCCCAGGGGAACCUGUACUCACAUGUGCGCAUUCACACACAGACACGUACAUAAAUUAAAAUAACAAUU
rnacentral:sRNA from 1 species